GGAGUGACGUCAAGGCUGCUGGGCUGUCCGGGCAGAGUGCCUGAAAAAGAGUGGAGACAAAAAGCUGGCACCGACCGAGCGGUGUGUGUGCUGUUCGUGCGUGUUCUGCAGGGAGCGUCCUACAGAUUUUCUCUGUUGUGGCCAGACAAGGGCAUGGACGAGGGGUAGGCAGAGAGAACGGAGGAGCAUCGACGAGGAAGAGCCCACCCGCCCAGGGCAGUGAGUGUCUGUGGCUCCGCUCCGUCAGCGAGCUGGUGCCCACCCGCCCACACUGCUCUCUUCUGCCACUAAGUGAUUGGUCGAGGCUGCUCGCAUUCUGGUCAAUGGAACUCACCCUGCUUAUCUAGUCCUGGAGACUUGAGCGGAGAUGGACAACAGCCAAGGCUUGGAGGCCCCAGAGUUUUGCUUUUAGGGUAACUCCAUCCCAUUGCGAACACUGUCAAACUGUAUUUCCAAAACCACCAUUGGUUCAAAUCAAUUACGAUAUUGCAUCGCCUGGCACAUCACCUUGGGGAUAACUCAGCCCCAAAGAGACCUUGUUUACCUCUCUCACAAAGUGGUCAAGG